UCGCGUGGGAUCCGUAGCCAGAACUCAUCCCAUCAGUCACCUGACAAGAGUACGGAUAGAGAAACCCUAGCGCGAGAGGAGGAUCCAGCGUCGUCCUUUACGUAAAUUCCAAUUCCCAGCCCUCCUCUCCUCCACAUCAAUCAAUUAAUCCACCGAAGAAGAAGAAGAAGAAGGAAGACGAGGGCUAAGAUGCCGAAGAAGAUGGGCGUGAACUCGAAGGCGGAGGCGACCCGCACGCGGCGCAGCGCGGUGGAGGCGGACCGCAAGGAGCGCGCGGCCCGCGAGAAGGAGGAGGAGUACUGGCGCGCGGCCGAGGGCUCCAAGUCCCGCGCCGCCAAGAAGCGCGAGGAAGAGGCCGAGAAGCGCGCCGAGGCCGCUGCCCGCAAGGCCGAGAACCGCAAGCUUGCUGAGGUCGAGCAGCAAGAAUUGGAGAAAGCCGGCCGCAAGCCCGACCGCAAGGUCAGCCGCGUGUCCAUCCCCACCGUCCCCAAGGUCACCGAGGCCGAGCUCGAGCGCCGCCGGGAGGAAGAGCGCCAGCGCAUGCUCCGCAACGCCGAGGCCGCCAAGAAGCGCCAGAGCCGCACCGCCGAGGAGGAGGAGUACGAGCGCAUGGUCCUCGUCGCCAACACCAACCGGGAUGACUCCGUCAUCGAGGCCCACUCCGUCGAGGACGCCAUCGCCCGCAUGGCCGUCGCCGAGCCCCAGCUGCCCCCGGAUUGCCACCCCGAGAGAAGACUCAAGGCCUCCUUCAAGGCUUUUGAAGAAGCGGAGCUUCCCAAACUGAAGGAAGAAAAACCAGGUCUAACCCUCAACCAGUACAAGGAUAUGAUAUGGAAGCUAUGGAAGAAAUCCCCAGACAAUCCCCUCAACCAGGGUAACCAAUGCCUAAUACUAAUAGAGUCGAUGUCAUCUUAAAAUAAGGUCCUAUCGCCAAUCCAAAUUGGACACAAAUCGUUCUAAUGACCUUGUCCUUAUGGUUGAGCUUAGAGUGGAGGGUGCUGAGUGAACAUAUAGGAUCAAUUAUUCAAUAACACAAUCAAGAUGUUCUCCAGCUUCGUGUUUUGCUGCUAAUUUCCUCAGCCAUAUUAUCAUAAUAUUCAGGUUAUUGAAUCAUACAGAGAUGUGUUUCUAUUGGUUUGCAUCAGAUGGAACUGCUUGUGCUUUACAGUAGUGUCUCUUCAUAAGACAUCUGUGUAAGCUAAAAAACACCAUUCUUGGGUACCUUUGCUGAUAAUAAGCAGUUGUGAGCGGUGUAUAUCAGGAGAGUGCAGCGGAGUUGGAAUUGAUAAGAGGUCUUACUCAUUUACUUUUCGGUUUCUUGGCCGAGAAACCUGUUAAACUUAGCCUUGUCUGUAUCAGGAUUGGUGCCAUCCCUAACACAAAGGUGGACAUAUACGACCUAUAGGCUAUAUGAUGUGAAUUAUUGUGGUUGUGGAAGAUACUGUUUGCUGAAUGGAUGAUGUCAAUUUGUUUAUCUAGACCUAAAGUUGAUUUGUCAUAAGCCAUCUUGUUUUCUUCUUCUUUUUUUUUCCCCUUAAGAUCAAUAGUAUCUCCCUAAUGUUAUAAGCUUGAGAUAUGUUUACCUAGAAACGGGUUAAUCUUCUACCAUAAGUACACUCCAUUCAAUGUAUGAGCCAAGGUUGGAUACAAAGCUGCAUUUCAGAUAUAGUUCGUCUGCAGAAGAUCUACCAUGCUUUUACUGCCAUGAUGAGAAUGGGCUGAGAUAAAAAUCUGGGAGGUUCUCGCUGUGAUUGGAGUUGAAAACCCUGCUAAGACCACCAUCUCCAAGCGAAUAGUUCCAGAACUCAUAUUUGCUGCUGAUGGGCUUCAUAUACUCUGAAUAUGAAAGUAAAAGGCUUCCCCAA